CUCCGUCCCCGAAGCCACCGACGCCUAAGCCCACACCACCCACGUAUACCCCGACCCCGAAGCCGCCCACUCCCACACCAAAGCCCACGCCGCCAACGUACAAGCCGGCACCCAAGCCCACUCCUCCCACGUAUAAGCCCACACCCAAGCCCUCGCCGCCGACGUACCCGCCGAAGCCAACACCACCCACCUACAAGCCGGCGCCGAAGCCGACUCCCCCGACCUACAAGCCGGCGCCGAAGCCGACACCGCCCACCUACAAGCCCGCGCCGAAGCCGACGCCCCCGACCUACAAGCCGGACCCCAAGCCGACUCCCCCGACGUACAAGCCCGCGCCGAAGCCGGCCCCCAAGCCUACGCCCCCGAACUACAAGCCGGCGCCGAAGCCGACGCCGCCGUCGUACAAGCCGGCCCCGAAGCCCACUCCCCCGGCACCGAAGCCCACGCCGCCGACACCACCAGCCUACAAGCCGGCGCCGAAGCCGAGCCCUCCGACGCCCGCCCCGCCGGCGUACAAGCCUCCGACUCCGACUCCUCCGGCGUACAAGACCCCCACUCCGAGCCCGCCGCCGCCGCC
rnacentral:lncRNA from 1 species